rnacentral:rRNA from 1 species
GCUGAUAUACUACGCUACCUGUUGGAUGGCUUGGCUUGGGUGCUGAUGAAGGGCGUGGCAAGCUGCGAUAAGCCCCGGGGAGACGCACGCAGUCUUCGAUCCGGGGAUCCCCGAAUAGGACUUCCUGGCGGCUUCGGCCGCCGCUCCGUGAGGAGCGGGAACCCCCUGAACUGAAACAUCUUAGUAGGGGGAGGAAAAGAAACCAAUUGGGAUUUCCUGAAUAGCGGCGAGCCGGCGCGAAUGUGGUGUAUGGGAUCGGUCUCUCUCUCCUCGGCGAAGCCGAGGUGUUCUGGAAAGCUCCGCCAUAGAGGGUGAUAGCCCCGUAGGUGUGAGCCGAGAGUGAUUGGACCGAUUUCCGGAGUAGCGUGCCUUGAGACUGGCGCGUGAAUCUGGGAGACAUUAACUCCCAAGGCUAAACACAACCCAAGACCGAUAGCGCACUAGUACGGUGACGGAAAGUUGAAAAGCCCCCCGAGAGGGGCGUUAAAAGAGCCUGAAAUCAGGUAGUUACAGACGGUUGCGGCCCGAAAGGGUUGAAGCCACCCGAAGGAAACCAGGGUGACCUGGCGGUACGGAGGUGGUGGACCAGGGUCGCAUGUUCCGUUUCGAAUCACGGGCCGGGGAGUUCUUUUGCGUGGCGAGCCUAAGGGUAUUAAACCCGUAAGCAUAGGGAAACCAAAAGGCGAACAGCCGUAAGGUGAGUCGCUGGGUCUUAAAGGGCCCGGAGUCACGCGGAUGAGACUAGAAACCAGGUGAUCUUUCCCUGAGCAAGGUGAAGUCAGACGAAAGUCUGAUGGAGGCCUGAAGGGGUACUGAUAUGCAAUUCGUUCCUCUGACUUGGGGAAAGGGGCAAAAGGCCAAUCUAACCUGGUGAUAGCUAGUUCCCUCCGAAGUAUGUUGCAGCAUAGUCUCGAGUGAGAAUGUCGGCGGGGUAGAGCACCAAUCGGGAGGCACGGAGGGGAAACCCUUCACCUCGCUUUUGAACUCCGAAUACGCCGACUUCGUAGAACUCGGGAAACGGGAGGCACGGGUUAAGCUCGUGCUCCGAGAGGGGGACAACCCAGACUGGGGUUAAGGGCCCAAAGUGCUGGCUAAGUGAUAAAUAAAAGGGCGUCGUAAGCCCAAAACAGCGGGGAGGUAGGCUUAGAGGCAGCCAUCCUUUAAAGAAAUCGUAACAGAUCACCCGCCGAGGCUUGGGGCCCCGAAGAUGGACGGGUCUAAAGCCAGCCUCCGAUACCCCAGGGGUGCAUCUGAGGAUGCAUUCUAGUAGGAGGGCGUCCCGAUUGGGUCGAAGCAGGGCCGUGAGGUCCUGUGGACCGGUCGGGAUUGCAGAUCCCGGCGGUAGUAGCAGCAGAGUCGGGUGAGAAUCCCGAUCGCCGAAAGGGCAAGGGUUUCCAGGCAAUGCGUCGUCAGCCUGGAGUUAGUCGGUCCUAAGACCAGCGUUAACAUGACUGGCCUAAAGGGGAACUGGUUAACAUUCCAGUACUACGGAGGUACACGUGGCAACACAGAGCUUCACACGUGACGCUUCGGGGUAGGUCGAACAGGGUUGUCGCCCUGUUUAACUGUCCAAGUCCGGGGAGUACCGUAAUGGUGAGAACCGGACGAAACCAGGAAUAGCCCCCCGUUUAGGGGGGUUCGAUCGAUCUCUGGAGCCCAUGAAAAGCGUGUGAGGAUGGAUCCUCCGUAUCCGUACCCAGAACCAACACAGGUGCCCAGGGUGAGUAGCCCAAGGCGUGUCGGGGACACUCUAGGCGAGGGAAUUCGGCAAAUUGGCCCCGUAUCUUUGGUAUAAGGGGUGCCUACUGUCUUCGCGUGAGCGGGGAUGGUAGGUCGCAGUGACAAGGGGGUUCCGGCUGUUUACUAAAAACAUAGGUAGCCGCUAGAGCGAAAGCUUUCGUACGGCUAUUGAAUCCUGUCCAGUGGUGGUACCUGAAGCCUGAUUUCAACCGGGGGAAGGGCCGCUAAACGACGGGAGUAACUCUGACUCUCUCAAGGUAGCCAAAUGCCUUGUCGUGUAAGUUACGACGUGCAUGAAUGGAUCCACGAGGACCCCACUGUCCCCGCCUAGAUCCCGGUGAACCCACAGGCUGGACGAACAGUCCAGCGACCUCCAGCGGGACAAGAAGACCCCGUGGAGCUUUACUGCAGUCUGUCGCUGAGACGUGGCCUUGCUUGCAGAGCGUAGGUAGGAGCCAAUGAAUACACCUCUCCGGGGGUGUAGGAGGCGCCAAUGUAACACUACCCUUGUAAGGCUGCUUCUCUGACCGAGGCCUAGUUGUCCGGGACAACGGCAGAUGGGCAGUUUGGCUGGGGCGGCACCCCCUUGAAAAGGAAUCGAGGGGGCCCAAAGGCUAGCUCAGGGGGGACAGAAACCCUCCGUAGAGUGUAAAGGCAAAAGCUAGCCUGACCGGAUCUCCAACAAUACGAGUUCCGGAGGUGAAAGCCAGGCUUAACGAGCUAUCAGAUCCUUAUUAAUGAGGGUUGGUAGUGUCAGAAAAGUUACCCCGGGGAUAACAGGCUUGUCGCGGGCGAGAGUUCGCAUCGACCUCGCGGUUCGGUACCUCGAUGUCGGCUCUUCCUAUCCUGGCCUUGCAUGAGGGGCCAAGGGUGAGGCUGCUCGCCUAUUAAAAGGGAUCGUGAGCUGGGUUUAGACCGUCGUGAGACAGGUCGGAUUUUAUCUGUUGGGGGUGUUGGUUGUCUGAGGGGAAAGGGUCUUUAGUACGAGAGGAACGAGACGCUGAGGCCUCUGGUGUACCGGUUGUCCGACAGGGCAGGCCGGGCAGCUACGCCUCUUCGGAUAAGAGCUGAAUGCAUCUAAGCUCGAAGCCGGCCCUGAAAAUAGACAGCCUUCCCGUUUCCGCAGCUUGUCUGUGGGACGGGUGGAGAGCGCCCGUAAAAGACGGGUUUGAUGGAGCCGGGGUGUAAGUAUCGAGGCUUUGGCCGAGGUAUUCAGCCCGCGGCCCCCAAUUGCUCAAUUUAUCAGUA